GGUAGUGUUCGUGACUGCUCUGAAACUUCCCGCGUGUGUUCGAAAUUUAAACUUGUGGGACUGAUAUGUGACUGUUGGAUUUAUGAGAAGUAUGGCGGGUCGAGCACUCGUUUUAUUGGCGAUAUCAAUAUUAAAUACCGAUGCACUAACUACGGAGAAAUUCACAAAUGUACUCCAUACGUAUCAAUGUUGCUCGGAAGAUACGCUGUUGGCAGAUAAUGAUGGCGACACCAAUCUUCAAAAAAGGUCUGAUGAAUCAUUCGCCUUUAAACGUG